UCACACCCGUUCCCAUACCGAACACGGAAGUUAAGCUCUUCAGCGCCGAUGGUAGUUGGGGGCUGUCCCCCUGCAAGAGUAGGACGUUGCCAAGC
rnacentral:rRNA from 1 species